GACGAACGCUGGCGGCGUGCUUAACACAUGCAAGUCGAACGGUGAAGCCUUCGGGUGGAUCAGUGGCGAACGGGUGAGUAACACGUGAGCAAUCUGCCCUUGACUCUGGGAUAACUUCGGGAAACCGGAGCUAAUACCGAAUAUGACAUCUGGCCGCAUGGUCUGGGUGUGGAAAGAUUUAUCGGUCAAGGAUGAGCUCGCGGCCUAUCAGCUUGUUGGGGGGUAAUGGCCCACCAAGGCGACGACGGGUAGCCGGCCUGAGAGGGCGACCGGCCACACUGGGACUGAGACACGGCCCAGACUCCUACGGGAGGCAGCAGUGGGGAAUAUUGCGCAAUGGGCGGAAGCCUGACGCAGCGACGCCGCGUGAGGA
rnacentral:rRNA from 1 species